AACGAACGCUGGCGGCAGGCUUAACACAUGCAAGUCGAGCGCCCCGCAAGGGGAGCGGCAGACGGGUGAGUAACGCGUGGGAAUCUACCCAGUUCUACGGAAUAACCCAGGGAAACUUGGGCUAAUACCGUAUACGCCCUACGGGGGAAAGAUUUAUCGGAAUUGGAUGAGCCCGCGUUGGAUUAGCUAGUUGGUGGGGUAAUGGCCUACCAAGGCGACGAUCCAUAGCUGGUCUGAGAGGAUGAUCAGCCACACUGGGACUGAGACACGGCCCAGACUCCUACGGGAGGCAGCAGUGGGGAAUAUUGGACAAUGGGCGCAAGCCUGAUCCAGCCAUGCCGCGUGAGUGAUGAAGGCCUUAGGGUUGUAAAGCUCUUUCAGUGGGGACGAUAAUGACGGUACCCACAGAAGAAGCCCCGGCUAACUUCGUGCCAGCCGCCGCCGUAAUAC
rnacentral:rRNA from 1 species